GACACACAAGCCCAAAAUGAUUACAAAAAUGUCUGAAAAAGCAUAUGAGAGUCACGCACCACCCCACUGCUGACUGUAGGGCUCGGAACGACUGCCAAAGGAGAACAUACAAUCUAAAGGUGCAGCGUCACCGAAAAGCUCACAUUAUGGCAAGAGAUCUUCAGACAGCACAACUGGAGCUAUUACAAGCCUUCUGUAUUUGCCCUUUUCACCUGGGAACGCAUCCUAACAGUCCAAGUGGUCCAAAAUACAAACCCAGUUGGAAACAGUUAUCUUUGCCUUAUCAUCUGUGAAAAUCCCACUGUUAACAGCUCUCACUCAGUGGGCAGCGUGUGGGCUCCCCCGAAACUCCUGCUCAAAAAUCACUCACCAACCAAGUAACAGCCAGAAAUAAAAUCGAGCUACCUUGAGCCCCCAAAUACACACUCCAAACAAACGCUAUAAUCCAGUUGUACUUUACUGCUGCUAUCUAAAGGAAAGGAGAUGGACAAUAGCACACACAAACGAAAAAUUAAAAUAGGAUGAAAAUACGGAGCCUUACCUGGAGUUAUAUUACUAAUGGAUGCAGAUGUAUGGUCUUCACAGCUAGUAAACUGAGUUAGUAAAUUCAGAAAGGAGAUUAAAAAAAUUUUGCUGGGAGAGUUCGGAGUUGAAACUCCAAUGAGAACCGAAUUUAACAAUCCCUUCCCGCCCAUGUUCUGCCAGCACGUCCAGGAUUAUCAAGCGCGAUUACCGUCCCAUGCCGGGAGCGCCGGUCCCACCCGCAGAACGGGACGUUGUCUUGGUCCCGCGGCUCGGAGGAUGGCUCCUGCCGCUGGCCCGGGUCAGGGCCAGCCUCCGCCUGUCUGCAGAGCGGCUUUCCCUGCGCACACUGGGCGAGACCGAGACCUGCGCUGGCGCUACCCGUCAUCCUGCGUGCGGAACACACGAGAUCUGGGCUUCGUUUAGAGUGUGGCCAUCCACAUUUAAAAGGCUUAAUCUAAAAACCUGUAUGUGUGAACCACAGAAAUCUCAGUCUUGUUUUCAGAAGGACCUGAAGCCCCGCUCUGUGUGCUGCUUCGUAUCUGAUAUUGAACACCCUUUCUUCAAGAUUCUACAUUCAAAGACACUCGUUGUGGGUGUUUGCUUGGACUGCGGAUUACGGUAUCGGCCAUUCACAGCCGAGCUCAGGAGGCAAAUGUAAUUAUAAACCCCAGCAAAAAAUAGAUACCCGAGUCCAAACUGUGCUACGAUUUGACACAAUUUGCAUAAACCAGGAUUUCAAAUCUGUCAUUAAGGACAGGAAUUGGGGGCACUGGAAGCUGCCAAGAAGCAACUUGUUGGUAAUGUAUCUCCAUGGACUAGUUAUUACUUUAACAUGCAUCUGCUGGCGAGAUUUUCAACAUCCUCAUCUCGUAUCACGCACAGCCACUCUUCAAAAAGCUCAUUUACGGCAUUUCAUGUCAGAGCACAUAUCCCACGGUGUUCCAGCUGACAAUGCUUGGCUGAUGGAGGUGACUCAGUUCACAUGCAGAAUUUUAUACUGAAUUUGAACCAAAUAAUACAAAAAGAAAGUAAUCGUUCUAUGAAUUGAGAUUAGUCUAUAUGAGUUUGUUUCAGAAGUGCCUACAAGGUAUCUGUCCUAUCUUUUACAUCUGUGUUCUGUUCACAUGUUCAACUGCGCAGAAGAAUUCCCUUCUCUGCCUGUUCUGCCGCUGUCGGGCUCUACCAAAGGAAAAAGGGAAAUCAUACCUGUUGGUACCAUAAGGAACACGGGACGGUUUCUGUGGCACAGAGGAUGGGCCUACCCACUCCUUCAGAACAGCAUUUGUACCUUCAACACUGACCAUCCGUGUAACUGAGUGCACGGACAAAGCCAACAGAGGGAUUUGUAGGCUAAAAUCCUCCUCUUACCUUUCCCUUCAUUCUCGCAGUACAACAACUAGGGCUGGAGCUUUUAGCUGUGGAAAACAAAGAGGUCAGGCUCAGCUGGCACUGACUGAACAGUUACUAGUCAAGAACUCUGAAACAUAAUGCAAGAGAUACGUGGGAAGAGAGAAAAUCAUGCACCACGCACAAACCCUCCCAGCAACGUUUGGGAUUUACUGCCAGGGUUUUGGGGCUUACAGAAAACAGGUAAAACCCCCACGCUGCAGCUUCCACGCAGAAAGCGUGCUUCGACCCAUCUGUGCCUAUGGAGGAAGAUUUUUCUUGUCCCUAGAACGUCACACACGUAUUUUAAUUUCCAUUUAUUAGCCAAGCUUUUUUCAACAGUAUAAAAACCACCACGCGGGAAGAGACCUGAAGCUCAGAGAAUCCACAGCUUCCACCACUUGCCUUUCAGCAUCCUUGUAAUUUCAGGCAUAUAAUUCAAUUCCUAGAAAACGCUGUACAUUUAAAACAUGCAAGGCCUGUUUCUCAAGGAAGAGUCUUACCAUUGCGUUCUCCCUAAACCCAGCAAGGAACAACCUUACUACACUAACACAGCCAGCAGACGCUGAAUCCAGUCUCUGUGCAAUGUUAAUGACAGUUAUCUGAUUAUUCUGUAACAUUGCCAAGGGAAGCCAACAGAUUAUCCAACCAUAUUCCUUUUCUAGUAAGAGCUACAAUACUGUUCUGCAAUUCAGUAAAAAAAACUAAACCCAAGUGAAAUGUGUUAUUAGACAAAGUCAGAACCAAAAAGCCCUUCCCUUUGCCCAUUUUAAACCAAAGCCAAGUAAACAUCCAUCUGAAAUUGGUGCAGGAUUUGUCAAUAUUUUCCAAAGCAGUAACUAAACAAAAUUUUGUGCCUGCUGUACAUAUGCAAGGGGAUUUAUUGUGAAUAUAUAUCAAGCAGCAUCUUGUAACCAAGACAAAUUGCCUGAGGAGGACAGGGACCGUUGAGUCAUCUGCCCUGGAGGUUUCUGAAGCACACAGGCUGAGCUCAGGGCUCCGUGCCCGUACUCCAGAAACACUCAUCUUCAAGGUAAAUAGUUAAUGGCAAUAAAUGCUUUCAAUAUGCACGGGACUUUUCAGAUUUGAAAUUGCUCUGGAUCUGCCAAUGCCAGAAAGUGGGAUGAAAAAGCCCAAGAGUUGAGUGUGAAAGAGGCUGGUUCGCUUGUACUAAAGCAGGAAUGAUGAAACCACACGUUCAGCCCAACUCCAGCUUAAGUUAGAAAAGCCAAGCAACACGCAUCCGUCCCGCCUGCGUUUGAGGCGCAGGGUACAGAGGGUGUUACUGCGACUUCGCUGAUGAGCUGUGCAAGUAUGUCAAACGGACGCUGAAGCUGCGCGAAGGCCAUCGCCUACCUCAGUCUGAACAGGAAACGAGCUGGACUCCAGCAUCUUCAGUCCCUGAAAACGGUGCCAGAUUCGGGCCAGCAGCCUACAGCAAUGCAAACUCCUGUACGCCAAGCUAAUUCACUCAGUGCAAGGGACCAAAACAAUCACCUGUUACGGAGUUUUCAAACAAUAAGCUUUAAUUGCCUUAUUAGAAAAAUAAGCACUGAAAUAUAUAUAAAUGUGAUUACAUUAAAGUAAUUCUGUAGUCUAACAUACUAGAAACCAAAGCCCAGUCGUGUUUUUAAUCAUACAGAGUAGCAAGAUUUAGGGGUUAGAAAUUUUCCAUGGAGAAUACCGAAGUGUGCAGAAUCUUUUAGGAAACCACAGUAAAGACGAGACAAAUCUACACAUUGCAAUAAAAACUAAGUAGAUCAAUUUAUUCUGUAUACUAUACAAUGUGUAAGUUUGGAGAGAACAAUUGACAUUUUUAUCACCUUAUCAUCUUGACUGGGUGGAAAUACGUCCAACAAAAUGUACUUGUGUGGCUUUUACACAAACACUGUCCUACCACAUCCAGAACAACGAGAGGGAAGCCUUUGGUGCUACGGAUUUGGGGACAUAGCAGUGAAGUUGUCAUUAGUUCACUUAACUAUCUCGACUAAAAUGUUGGUGCUAUCUGCUCUUAGAAGCCUACGUGGGUACUACUCUAAUAACUAAACACUAUCUUUAUAAAGGCAAGAUAGGAAAGGGACUGCCAGUCUACAGCGUGGACAGGUUUUCUUUGAAAAAGGUAAUUAUCAAAUGGUAAAACUCAUAUAAUACAUUAUGUACAUAAGUUUGGAUAGCUGAGUUAUCUUGCUGGAAUAAGCUGAAAGUAAGCAUCGAUUUGCAGUCACGUUUGAUUUACUGUUACGUGAUUCUUGGGCUUAAGUUUUACACAGUGUACGGGAUCAAAACAGCCGUGCCCGCUGCUGAGGUCUGCCCGCUGUGAACGCCUGUAACCACUCACUGCCCUCGCUAGUGUUACAGUACUUCUCACUGACACGUGGACAAUAUAUUCAGAGCUGAAUCUCUAAUCACCUUAAGAACUGCAAGUCACCGGGUGGCCACGGGAAGAGCUCGUGUUGUCCAACCAGCAGCACAAGCCGAGUUGCGGGUAAGCGAGUGGAAUGUCUACAUUUAAAUGGCUAUUUUUUAAACCUUCCCAAACAUCAGGAAAGCUCACCGUAUGCGAGCCCCGAACAGCGGCACCGGACAACGCACCGCAAGUCACCUUCAAUUGUCCAAAAUCUGCUUCAGGCCCAGUCCUAUCGUUAAGUUUCAUUUACACAUACAAAAAUAAACAGGGAUUUUCACAUUAGGACAAACAUCUAUAAAAAGCAGUUUGCUUCUAUAUAUCCAGUUUCCUUGCUAUUCUCCCAGCCUCAUUUCUUACUUAAAGAAGGCAAGCAAGUCCAUUUCUUCAACCUGUUCUGCAGAAAUCACUUAUUCUUUAUAGUACUAGUGGAAGAUAAGGAAUAAGGACAGCCCUGACACAGCCCAUUCCGUUACUAGAAAAGGGCGACACAGGCUUGGAAAGAAUCAGGUUAACAAUUUCACAGCUCUGGAACGAGCGGUUCCAUAGACACCGCUAUACUUUGCUCACACUCGGAUCAAGUCAGGACCAAAUGAAGACUUCCCAUUUUCUCUGGAUCGCUUUCUUGUGUUUGCCUUCAGAAGGGAGCACUGCGGAGCACAAAGCCAGUGCUCCUUCUGACCGGCAGUGCUUUAUCUUGUAAGGCCUUGCUGAAUACGUCAACACAAAACACAUCCUUCUGAAAACAUGCACCUUUAAGACUACUUUCUCUUCUAAUACCCACAGCGGUGCUUUAAUAGGCGGUUUCAGAACUGUUUCUUUAAAGAAAGAAGUAUUCAGGAAACUGGUCUUUCUAAAGAGUUUCUUAUAUUCCCAAAGAAUACCAAGGCUGUGGCUCCCUAUAAAAAUGAGUCAUGUUAUGGAUCAUACUGCACUUUUAAUAUUCUGAUUUCACUGAACAAACAUGCUUUUAAAGGCGGGAAGUUACCUGUCCGAUAUCAAGCGUGUAUUUUAGCCAUCUAGUACUUACGACCUGCACCAGAAAGAUGAACUGACAUUCGCUCCUUCUUUCUGAUACGAAAAGUGACCUAUUUCCCAAUAGGUCAUUACAUAAACACCACUGCCAGUUCUUUGUUUCCCCAAGGCCAGUGAGGGGCUGCUGCGCAAGAGAACAUGAGUUAGUUUACCACCACUUCAGAAAUUAAAAAUGAAGAAAAUGAUACUCUUCCGCUUCCCCAAGUUAAAACAGCCCAAAGACAAUUGCACAUCAACCUUCGCACGCCCAGCUGUGGAGUUUGCCACACACAAGACUCUGUAGAACGGUACAUUUAGCCAUCUCCCACCUCACCAGAGCAUUUCACCUUUAGAAGCUUAAAGAGCUGCUGAGCAGAAAGGGCACUGGCCUCCAAUAGGGGUGCAAAUUCCAGAUUUCAUCUGAAUGACGGACAUUGUUGUAAAACAAAAUACACAACCACAAAAGCAUAAGGCUGAGUCAAGUGUAAAUUUCAGUGUUUCACAGAUUUCAGGUAUCCAGAUUUUACUUUCAGUAGCAAGAUCCUGGGCUCUUAGCUUCAGGACAAGACUUUGAAAGACACAGAAUCACUUGUGCUUUGAUUGGCACAUUAUCUGCUUUCUAAAAUGUAAAACUAAGACGUUUGCAAAAGGUUGUGCAAAACUAUUGUAUUUACAAAAAUGGCACAAGAGUGAAUUCAACAGUCUAUGCACAUGCACACUUCAUUCACAUCUUCAACAGAAGUCUGUCCUAAGCUACGGAACUGAAAAGAAUACCAGCUUCAACAGGCAGUUGUCAAUAAGCACUAGGUUCACAAGAGUUACACCAGAAUGGGCAAAUAUUGCCCAAGUAAAAACUCUAUUGUUAAAGCUGAAACAGGUUUAAGGCCGUUCAAGUUCAAAAGCAGAAACAAAAUUCAAUCAGAGACCUGUCUUGGUUUUAUACAUGCUUUACCAUCUAGCAACUUGUGGUUUAAAUCUCUAUUUUGGACAACAAACCCAAACACAGAAGAAAAACCCAACACAACUGGAGGUUAUAUUAAAUACAAAUAUGCUGUAAUUAAGAUGAAAUAACAAAAGCAGAAACAUUGUAAGUUGUAAAACUUGCGAUGUCACUUGCUGGAACCAGUCCUACACUAGGAAAUGGGCAAUAUGUACAUGUUCAAGUAGAUUACAGAGCUCUAACCAAACUUAGCCUUUUUAAUCAGUGCAUUGUUCUCAGCUAGUCCAAAUACUACGUUUUACUCUUAACAGUACUCCCUUACAAUAGCAGCACAUGCUACCGCUACCUGCAAAGCUGUCAGUCUCAUGACUUAGUGUAAGAAAGGAAACAUGGGGGAUGUGAGGGUGAGAAAUAACUAUUAAGGAGAAAUAACAGGAAUGAGAAUAAUCAUGCAGUUCGGCUGUUCUCGUCAGCCAGCCAGCUUGCUAGCAACUAGAGACGGUUUCCGCUGGGGAAGAUCCUGUGGAGUGGGAAUAUGGUCACCCGUGACUUCUGUCUUG